rnacentral:tRNA from 1 species
GGUUCCACAGUCUAGCAGUUAGCAUGUCUGCUUUACAUGCAGCAGGUCCUGGGUUUGCACCCCAGUGUAGCCA